CCACCGCCCCUGCCAUUGCCGCCACCGCCACCAUCACCGUCACCUCCACCUCUGCCUCCUUGGGGCCCUUCUCCUUCACUGCCCCCUUUGCUACCUCUGCACAUUCUAGGCCUUCUGUUCUGGAGAAGAAGCUAUAGUCAGUCCCCUUGUGGGCCCAGGGCGCAGCCAAGGCGGACAGCAGUGGCGGAGCCAGACUCUGCCAGGACAGCGACAGGCACUGCUGGGGCCACUGGGGGCAGUGGCCCCAUCAACCCGGCCCCGCUGCCUCCCAUUGACCCGCAGCUCAUCGCUCUCAUCAUUGGAGCAGCUCAAGAGCCCUGGCCUUUUUUGACAACUUCCACCGGGACUGCCUGGCCAACUUGGACACAAAGCCAGCUUACCAAAACCUUAGGCAGAAAGUGGAUAAUCUUGUGUCAACACAUCUGGACAAGCAGGAAUGGAGUCCUACAGUGAUCAAAAACCAAUUGCGAAAUGGUCUGAGAUAGAGUGUGGUUCAGUCAGGGAUGUUGGAAGCUGGAGUAGAGAGGAUUAUUUCUCAGGUGGUGGAUCCAAAACCAAACCACAUCUUCAGGCCACAAAUAGAACAAGCAAUUCAUGAGUUCCUGGCCGCCCAGGAAAAAAAGCAGCUGUGCCAGCACCCCCCUCCAGAGCCUGAAGGCCAGAACCCACCAGCUCCAUCUCAGGACACUUCCUAAGAAUAUUCUGACACCUUUUGAAAGCUCAAUUUUUGGUGAAGAAAUGGAUUCAGUUACAUAAGAGGGCAGCUUCAGACUGAAGAUAGGCCAAGGUCGUCACUUGUCUAAAGAUUUCAACCUUGACUAUGGGCAGUGAACAGAUUGAAAGGGGAGCAAGUUCACAAGCGGGAAAGUUGACCGUGUCAGCCCCUGCAUUGUGCUGCCAUUUGCCAAGGGCAUGACACCAAGUAGACACUACAGCAACCCAGGGUUGUCCUGAAACAGACUUUACUUAAACAUGGAGACUGCACGUGGACUUUAGGGUUUGUGCUUUGGGACAAACGAAAGCUACAGUGAGAGAAAAUAACCAAUCCCAAAGACGGUUUCAAAGAACAAUGACAGUAAAGGUUAACUGGGGGUAGUAUUUGACAGUGCUUAUUUGAUAUUGUCUCUCAGAGUUCCAAACUAGAUUGUACAAGUCAUUAGCAUCAGAUAGCUUUAAAGUUGUGACCUUCUUGUACCUCAAUCUGCUAGCCAGUUUCCUUUCCUUUGUAAUAGGUAACAAAACAUGAAAUCCUAGAAUGUGUGAAAAGUUCAGACAUGAGGUAUAAGGAAAUUCAUCUGCAGCCUCUCUGUCCAGGGCUGCUUCCUGUCCUGCAGGGACUAGUGAGUCUUACAUAUGUUUAUUUUAUUCUCACAUUUGUGUUCUUUUAGGAAAGUGUCAAUAAAUGGCUUAUCUUUUAUAAUAAAAUCAUUUAAGACUCUUAAAAAAA